rnacentral:rRNA from 1 species
GUGAACGCUGGCGGUAGGCCUAACACAUGCAAGUCGAACGGCAGCACAGUAAGAGCUUGCUCUUACGGGUGGCGAGUGGCGGACGGGUGAGGAAUACAUCGGAAUCUACUUUUUCGUGGGGGAUAACGUAGGGAAACUUACGCUAAUACCGCAUACGACCUACGGGUGAAAGCAGGGGAUCUUCGGACCUUGCGCGAUUGAAUGAGCCGAUGUCGGAUUAGCUAGUUGGCGGGGUAAAGGCCCACCAAGGCGACGAUCCGUAGCUGGUCUGAGAGGAUAAUCAGCCACACUGGAACUGAGACACGGUCCAGACUCCUACGGGAGGCAGCAGUGGGGAAUAUUGGACAAUGGGCGCAAGCCUGAUCCAGCCAUACCGCGUGGGUGAAGAAGGCCUUCGGGUUGUAAAGCCCUUUUGUUGGGAAAGAAAAGCAGCAGGUUAAUACCCCGCUGUUCUGACGGUACCCAAAGAAUAAGCACCGGCUAACUUCGUG